rnacentral:rRNA from 1 species
CACGUAGGGUGCGAGCGUUGUCCGGAAUUAUUGGGCGUAAAGAGCUCGUAGGCGGUGUGUCGCGUCGGCCGUGAAAACCUGCAGCUUAACUGUGGGCUUGCGGUCGAUACGGGCAUCACUGGAGUUCGGCAGGGGAGACUGGAAUUCCUGGUGUAGCGGUGAAAUGCGCAGAUAUCAGGAUGAACACCGGUGGCGAAGGCAGCACUCUGGGCCGGUACUGACGCUGAGGAGCGAAAGCGUGGGGAGCAAACAGG